GGCACUUUGGCGGAGUGGUUAACGCGAUGCCCUGCUAUGUAUCGUGUGUCUCAUCGACGAUCCCUUCUGAGGCGGUCAAGAGACCCACGAGGUAGUGAAGGCAUUCCCUUCGGGGGCGUGUGUUCGAAUCACACAGGUGUCG